UUUGCUGUCUCUAGAAAUCUUCUUCCUCCUUGUAGGCUUUCAACAGUUUGUUGUUUAUGGAAGAUAUGACUGUUUGAUCAUGGUUCUGACUUGUCAUUGCUUUGUCGAGCUGAUGUUUGAGUUGUUUUAUUUGCUCUUUACUGCUUAGGUGUUUUGCUCUUGUCCAAGUAAUGAUCUCCCCACGACACUGGGUGAUCUUUUUCUCCACAUCCUCACUCUCAUCAAAGGUCCAAGCUCUUUUAACUAUUGAUGUUACUUCCUCAUUCUCUUUAAGGCGUCUAUCGUAUCUAAAAAUACCCUUCUUCUUUUUCUUUGAGAGAUCCAAAUGAGUGAGGAGGGGCCUGUGAUCUGAACCUUCAAACUUCAUAUACUCACAUCGGCUAAAGGGGACAGAAAGUUACCAGAGUGUCGAAGGUCGAAUAAGUCGCAAGUUGACAUGAAACUUCGGAUAUCAGUGAAAGUUCCUUCGUGUCUAGUUGGGCCUCCUUGCUUUUCCAAGGUUCUCCAUACUGGAAGGUAGCGAAGAAAGUUUUUCCUUCUGCUUUGAUUUGUGUAUCAAUGAAGUUUUGGCAGCUUGAGAUGAUUGAAAGUUCUACUUCCUUCUUCCAGAGUAACGUUAGACCACCUCCACCAGGGCUAUGGGGGGAUACCAGGUAAU